UUGUUCAGUAGAGUGUAUGGUGGUGUAUUUUAGGAUAUGCAAACAUAUACAUAUACAUAUACACACAUAUAUGUACACAUAUAUAUG
rnacentral:miRNA from 1 species